rnacentral:rRNA from 1 species
GACGAACGCUGGCGGCGUGCCUAAUACAUGCAAGUCGAGCGGGCCUCCGGAGGUGCUUGCACCUCCGGAAGGCCAGCGGCGGACGGGUGAGUAACACGUGGGCAACCUGCCUUUGAGGCCGGGAUAACACCGGGAAACCGGUGCUAAUACCGGAUACGUCCUCUUUCGCGCCUGCGAGAGGGGAGAAAGACGGUCUUUAAGGCCGUCGCUCAAAGAGGGGCCCGCGGCGCAUUAGCUGGUUGGUGGGGCAAGGGCCUACCAAGGGGACGAUGCGUUGCCGACCUGAGAGGGUGAUCGGCCACACUGGGACUGAGACACGGCCCAGACUCCUGCGGGAGGCAGAAGUAGGGAAUCAUCCGCAAUGGGCGAAAGCCUGACGGUGCAACGCCGCGUGAGUGAGGAAGGUUUUCGGAUCGUAAAGCUCUGUUGUGAGGGAAGAACAGCAUCCGGAGGAAAUGCCGGAGGUUUGCCGGUACCUCACCAGAAAGCCCCGACUAACUACGUGCCAGCCGCCGCUGUAACAC